UACAGAGGGGGCAAGCGUUGUUCGGAAUUACUGGGCGUAAAGGGCGCGUAGGCGGCCUUCUAAGUCGAACGUGAAAUCCCCGGGCUCAACCCGGGAACUGCGUCCGAUACUGGAAGGCUUGAAUCCGGGAGAGGGAUGCGGAAUUCCAGGUGUAGCGGUGAAAUGCGCAGAUAUCGGGAGGAACACCAACGGCGAAGGCAGCACUCUGGGCUGGAACUGACGCUGAGGAGCGAAAGCGUGGGUAGCAAACAGG
rnacentral:rRNA from 1 species